rnacentral:rRNA from 1 species
UCCGUAGGCGGGCAAUUAAGUCAGAGGUGAAAUCCCACAGCUCAAAUGUGGAACUGCCUUUGAUACUGGUUGUCUUGAGUUACAGUGAAGUAGAUAGAAUAUGUAGUGUAGCGGUGAAAUGCAUAGAUAUUACAUAGAAUACCGAUUGCGAAGGCAGUCUACUAACUGUAUACUGACGCUAAUGGACGAAAGCGUGGGGAGCGAACAGGAUUAGAUACCCUGGUAGUCC